rnacentral:rRNA from 1 species
GAUGAACGCUAGCGGCAGGCUUAAUACAUGCAAGUCGAGGGGCAGCAGGACUGUAGCAAUACAGUUGCUGGCGACCGGCAAACGGGUGCGGAACACGUACGCAACCUACCCAAAACUGGGGGAUAGCCCGGGGAAACCCGGAUUAAUACCUCGUAACCUUUUUAAGUGGCAUCACUUGAUAAGUAUAGCUCCGGCGGUUUUGGAUGGGCGUGCGCCUGAUUAGGUAGUUGGUGCGGGUAACGGCCCACCAAGCCUGCUAGCAGUAACUGGUGUGGGAGCACGACAGGUCACCCGGGAACUGGGACACGGGCCCGACUCCUACGGGAGGCAGCAGUAAGGAAUAUUGGGCAAUGGACGCAAGUCUGAACCAGCCAUGCCGCGUGAAGGAUGAAGGUCCUCUGGAUUGUAAACUUCUUUUAUGGGGGACGAAACCCGGAUAUUCUUAUCAGAUUGACGGUACCUCAGGAAUAAGCACCGGCUAACUCCGUG